rnacentral:rRNA from 1 species
AGAGUUUGAUCAUGGCUCAGAUUGAACGCUGGCGGCGUGCCUAACACAUGCAAGUCGAGCGGUAACAGGUGUAGCAAUACAUGCUGACGAGCGGCGAACGGGUGAGUAGUGCUUCGGAAUCUGCCCAAUGGUGGGGAAUAACCAGCCGAAAGGUUGGCUAAUACCGCAUACGUCCUACGGGAGAAAGCAGGGGAUCGUAAGACCUUGCGCCAAUGGAUGAGCCGAAGCCGGAUUAGCUAGUUGGUAGGGUAACGGCCUACCAAGGCGACGAUCCGUAGCUGGUCUGAGAGGACGACCAGCCACACUGGGACUGAGACACGGCCCAGACUCCUACGGGAGGCAGCAGUGGGGAAUAUUGGACAAUGGGGGAAACCCUGAUCCAGCGACGCCGCGUGUGUGAAGAAGGCCUGCGGGUUGUAAAGCACUUUUAGUGGGGAUGAAAAGUGCAGGGCUAAUACCUCUGCAUCUUGACCUAACCCACAGAAAAAGCACCGGCUAACUCUGUGCCAGCAGCCGCGGUAAUACAGAGGGUGCAAGCGUUAAUCGGAAUUACUGGGCGUAAAGCGUGCGUAGACGGUUACAUAAGUCGGGUGUGAAAUCCCCGGGCUCAACCUGGGAAUUGCAUUCGAGACUGCGUAGCUAGGGUGCGGAAGAGGGAAGCGGAAUUUCCGGUGUAGCGGUGAAAUGCGUAGAUAUCGGAAGGAACACCAGUGGCGAAAGCGGCUUCCUGGUCCAGCACCGACGUUCAGGCACGAAAGCGUGGGGAGCAAACAGGAUUAGAUACCCCCGUAGUCC